AGUGAACGCUGGCGGUAGGCCUAACACAUGCAAGUCGAACGGCAGCACAGAGGAGCUUGCUCCUUGGGUGGCGAGUGGCGGACGGGUGAGGAAUACAUCGGAAUCUACUCUGUCGUGGGGGAUAACGUAGGGAAACUUACGCUAAUACCGCAUACGACCUACGGGUGAAAGCAGGGGACCUUCGGGCCUUGCGCGAUUGAAUGAGCCGAUGUCGGAUUAGCUAGUUGGCGGGGCAAAGGCCCACCAAGGCGACGAUCCGUAGCUGGUCAGAGAGGAUGAUCAGCCACACUGGAACUGAGACACGGUCCAGACUCCUACGGGAGGCAGCAGUGGGGAAUAUUGGACAAUGGGCGCAAGCCUGAUCCAGCCAUACCGCGUGGGUGAAGAAGGCCUUCGGGUUGUAAAGCCCUUUUGUUGGGAAAGAAAUCCAGCUGGCUAAUACCCGGUUGGGAUGACGGUACCCAAAGAAUAAGCACCGGCUAACUUCGUGCCAGCCGCCGCAGUAA
rnacentral:rRNA from 1 species